CCUACGGGAGGCAGCAGUAGGGAAUCUUUCACAAUGGGCGAAAGCCUGAUGGAGCAACGCCGCGUGCAGGAUGAAGGCCUUCGGGUUGUAAACUGCUUUUAUAAGCGAGAAAUAUGAUGGUAACUUAUGAAUAAGGCUCGGCUAACUACGUGCCAGCAGCCGCGGUCAUACGUAGGAUCCGAGCAUUAUCCGGAGUGACUGGGUGUAAAGAGUUGCGUAGGUGGCAUAAUAAGUAGCUAGUGAAAUCUGGUGGCUCAACCAUUCAGACUAUUAGCUAAACUGUUAAGCUCGAGACCGUUAGGGGUAACUGGAAUUUCUAGUGUAGGAGUGAAAUCCGUAGAUAUUAGAAGGAACACCAAUAGCGUAGGCAGGUUGCUGGGACGGUUCUGACACUAAGGCACGAAAGCGUAGGGAGCAAACGGGAUUAGAUACCCGUGUAGUC
rnacentral:rRNA from 1 species